rnacentral:rRNA from 1 species
UACGUAGGGAGCAAGCGUUGUCCGGAAUCAUUGGGCGUAAAGCGCGCGUAGGCGGCCCUGUAAGUCCGCUGUGAAAGUCAAAGGCUCAACCUUUGAAAGCCGGUGGAUACUGCAGGGCUAGAGUCCGGAAGAGGCGAGUGGAAUUCCUGGUGUAGCGGUGGAAUGCGCAGAUAUCAGGAGGAACACCAAUAGCGAAGGCAGCUCGCUGGGACGGUACUGACGCUAAGGCGCGAAGGCGUGGGGAGCGAACAGG